rnacentral:rRNA from 1 species
UACGGAAGGCAGCAGUGGGGAAUAUUGCACAAUGGGCGCAAGCCUGAUGCAGCCAUGCCGCGUGUAUGAAGAAGGCCUUCGGGUUGUAAAGUACUUUCAGCGGGGAGGAAGGCGGUGAAGUUAAUAGCUUCACCGAUUGACGUUACCCGCAGAAGAAGCACCGGCUAACUCCGUGCCAGCAGCCGCGGUAAUACGGAGGGUGCAAGCGUUAAUCGGAAUUACUGGGCGUAAAGCGCACGCAGGCGGUCUGUCAAGUCGGAUGUGAAAUCCCCGGGCUUAACCUGGGAACUGCAUUCGAAACUGGCAGGCUAGAGUCUUGUAGAGGGGGGUAGAAUUCCAGGUGUAGCGGUGAAAUGCGUAGAGAUCUGGAGGAAUACCGGUGGCGAAGGCGGCCCCUGGGACAAAGCUGACGCUCAGGUGCGAAAGCGUGGGGAGCAAACGAGGAUUAGGAU